GAACGCUGGUGGCAUGCUUAACACAUGCAAGUCGAACGGUAACAGGACUAGCUUGCUAGUUGCUGACGAGUGGCGGACGGGUGAGUAACACGUAGGAAUCUGCCCAUCUGAGGGGAUACCAGUUGGAAACGACUAUUAAUACCGCAUAGUAUCUGUGGAUUAAAGAUGGCUUUUAGGCUGUCGCGGAUGGAUGAGCCUGCGUUGGAUUAGCUAGUUGGUGAGGUAAGGGCCUACCAAGGCUACGAUCCAUAGUUGAUUUGAGAGGAUGAUCAGCCACAUUGGGACUGAGACACGACC
rnacentral:rRNA from 1 species